UAGAGGUCCGCCUGCCAGUGACUAUAUGUUUAACGGCCGCGGUACUUUGACCGUGCGAAGGUAGCGCAAUCACUUGUCUUUUAAAUGAAGACCUGUAUGAAUGGCACGACGAGGGCUUAACUGUCUCCUUUUUCCAGUCAAUGAAAUUGAUCUUCCCGUGAAGAAGCGGGAAUAAUACCAUAAGACGAGAAGACCCUGUGGAGCUUUAGACACUAAAUCAGCCCUUGUCCAAAACCCCAAUUAAAGGAGUGAACACUAGAGUGAGACCUGAUCUAAUGUCUUCGGUUGGGGCGACCUUGGGGAAAGAAAAAUCCCCCAUGCGGAACGGAAAUACUAUGUUUCCAAAACUAAGAAAGACCACUCAAAGUAUCAAAAAUUUUGACCCACUAUAUGAUCCGGCUUAAACACCGAUCAACGGACCGAGUUACCCCAGGGAUAACAGCGCAAUCCUUUUUUAGAGCCCAUAUCGACAAAAGGGUUUACGACCUCGAUGUUGGAUCAGGACAUCCUAAUGGUGCAGCCGCUAUUAAGGGUUCGUUUGUUCAACGAUUAAAGUCCUACGUGAUCUG
rnacentral:rRNA from 1 species